rnacentral:rRNA from 1 species
ACGGGAGGCAGCAGUGGGGAAUAUUGCACAAUGGGGGAAACCCUGAUGCAGCGACGCCGCGUGAGUGAAGAAGUAUUUCGGUAUGUAAAGCUCUAUCAGCAGGGAAGAUAAUGACGGUACCUGACUAAGAAGCCCCGGCUAACUACGUGCCAGCAGCCGCGGUAAUACGUAGGGGGCAAGCGUUAUCCGGAUUUACUGGGUGUAAAGGGAGCGCAGACGGCCAUGCAAGUCUGAAGUGAAAUCCACGGGCUCAACCCGUGAACUGCUUUGGAAACUGUAAGGCUAGAGUGCAGGAGAGGUAAGUGGAAUUCCUAGUGUAGCGGUGAAAUGCGUAGAUAUUAGGAGGAACACCAGUGGCGAAGGCGGCUUACUGGACUGUAACUGACGUUGAGGCUCGAAAGCGUGGGGAGCAACCAGGAUUAGAUACCCUGGUA